AGUGUAGGCGGGAUCGUAAGUUAGGAGUUUAAUACAUGGGCUUAACCCAUGAGCUGCUUUUAAUACUGCGGUUCUUGAGUAUGGGAGAGGGCGAUGGAAUUCCAGGUGUAGCGGUGGAAUGCGUAGAUAUCUGGAAGAACACCAGCAGCGAAGGCGGUCGCCUGGCCCAAUACUGACGCUGAUGCUCGAAAGCUAGGGGAGCAAACAGGAUUAGAUACCCUGGUAGUCCUAGCCGUAAACGAUGGACACUAGUUGCUGGAGGAGUCAAUCCUUUCGGUGACGAAGCUAACGCAUUAAGUGUCCCGCCUGGGGAGUACGUUCGCAAGGAUGAA
rnacentral:rRNA from 1 species